rnacentral:rRNA from 1 species
UACGGGGGGUGCAAGCGUUGUUCGGAAUCAUUGGGCGUAAAGAGCGUGUAGGCGGCUUGGUAAGUCAGAUGUGAAAGCCCUGGGCUCAACUCAGGAAGUGCAUUUGAAACUGCCAGACUAGAGUUCGGGAGAGGGCAGUGGAAUUCCUGGUGUAGCGGUGGAAUGCGUAAAUAUCAGGAGGAACACCGGUGGCGAAGGCGACUUUCUGGCCCUAUACUGACGCUGAGACGCGAGAGCGUGGGUAGCAAACAGG